AUUGAACGCUGGCGGCAGGCCUAACACAUGCAAGUCGAACGAGUGGCGGAUGGGUGCGUAAUGUCUGGGAAACUGCCCGAUGGAGGUGGAUAACUACUGGAAACGGUAGCUAAUACCGCAUACCAUCGGAUGUGCCCAGAUGGGAUUAGCUAGUAGGUGGGGUAACGGCUCACCUAGGCGACGAUCCCUAGCUGCUCUGAGAGGAGGACCGGCAACACGGGAAUUGGGAAACGGUCCAGACCCCUACGGGAGGAAGCAGUGGGGAAUAUUGCAAAAUGGGCGAAAGCCUGAUGCAGCCAUGCCGGGUGUAUGAAGAAGGCCUUCGGGUUGUAAAGUACGUUCAGCGAGGAGGCGUUACUCGCAGAAGAAGCACCGGCUAACUCCGUGCCAGCAGCCGCGGUAAUUC
rnacentral:rRNA from 1 species